rnacentral:rRNA from 1 species
AACGAACGCUGGCGGCAUGCCUAACACAUGCAAGUCGAACGAGAUCUUCGGGUCUAGUGGCGCACGGGUGCGUAACGCGUGGGAAUCUGCCCUUUGGUUCGGAAUAACAGUUGGAAACGACUGCUAAUAUCGGAUGAUGACGAAAGUCCAAAGAUUUAUCGCCAGAGGAUGAGCCCGCGUAGGAUUAGCUAGUUGGUGUGGUAAAGGCGCACCAAGGCGACGAUCCUUAGCUGGUCUGAGAGGAUGAUCAGCCACACUGGGACUGAGACACGGCCCAGACUCCUACGGGAGGCAGCAGUGGGGAGUAUUGGACAAUGGGCGAAAGCCUGAUCCAGCAAUGCCGCGUGAGUGAUGAAGGCCUUAGGGUUGUAAAGCUCUUUUACCCGGGAUGGUAAUGACAGUACCGGGAGAAUAAGCUCCGGCUAACUCCGUGCCAGCCGCCGCCGUAA